rnacentral:lncRNA from 1 species
AUGGACACCCUCUGCUACAACUCCUCUGACCCGGUGGCAGUGAACGCCACCGUGCUGUUUGAUUUUGACAUCGACAACAUGAAUCUGUGGACCAGAGCUGAUCCCACUGUCCCCCUCCCUCCCUGUCCCUCCUCCUCUCCCCCCGGUGAUGCCCAGUGCACCGUGUGCCGCGACCACAUCGUCUUCGCCGUGUGCCGAAAGCUGGCAGACGGCGUGAAAAUGACGAUGGAGGCCGGAACACAGCAGGUCACAGUCCUCCAGAGCGAAUGCCCCACAAUGCUCUCUGAUGGACAGCUGCACAGUGCUCUCCUCUUCCUCUUCCUCAUCCUCUUCCUCAUCCUCCUCCUCUUCAUCGGGGGGGUUGGUGGCUGUGUACUCUGGAGACGCUCAAUGUGGGUGUUUUUAAGUUUCUGUCAAAACUGUUCACAUGUAGCCUUUUAUGGAUCAUUAGUAUUGAUUAUCAUCAGAAUAUUGGUGUUUAGGGGGACGAUCUUUAUUCAAUCUGGGGACCCAGAAACAGACAGAACCAGAUGUGAGUCAACCAAACACAUCUUAACUGCAGAGGGGAUGAAGAGUCCGGUCGCUACGAUUCAACAAGGAAUAAUAUUCUCCUCUUUUUGUGCAGUAAUGUCAGUUUAUCUGACAGCAGCAGGACAUUAACUGACCUCCACCUGAACGUCUAAUUCAACCUUUAUUUGACUUUAUUUUAUGGAUAUUUUAUCUUCAGCACUAACAACAGAGAACAGACAGUGAAGCUGUGUGUAUAUAACUUAUAUGUUAUAACUUGUGUUUGUGCUCUCAUCGUCUCAUUAUUGUUUAAACUUUGUGUUUGCAGGUCCAACCAGCAGUCGGAGCGCCGCACUGACGCUCAUCCUGAGACGGCUUACAAUAAGUGUGUUUGACCUCUGUUACGAACUAAUGCUGUCAAAAUCUGCCAAAAGAAGAUUAUUAUCCGUAAAUGUAAGAACUCAUAGCUCUCUUUAUAGCUACAGCGCUUCAGCUUAGGCAAUGAGACACUGCUGAAUGUUUACAUUUUUCAAAAUAAAGGAAAAUAAAUCAAAAACGUACCGGAUCAUGAAUUUUGUGUACCGUUAUACCCUUAAUAUAUGUAUAUAUACACUGAAUAUAUAAGUUAGAAGGAGCUAAAUGUAGUUUAUCACUUAAAUAAAAUGCAAUGGAGAGCUGCUGUAGACCCACAAAGGUCCUCUAGAACAAUCAAUGUUUCACUCAGACUUUCUCAGGAGUUUGCAGAACAUCUGGAAGCACAAUAAAUAUGAUAAACUGUAAUUUUAAUGAAAAUAAAA